GGGCCAUGGUGGUGGGGAUGGCUGCAGAAGCCCCUGCCUGUCCGCACAGAAUCAGAACCAUGGAACAGCCCAGGCUGGAAGGGAGCUGGCAAGAUCAUUGGUCCAGCUGUUGUGUGAGGGAGACUAGAUGAGCUUAUCGAGCAGCUUGGAAACCUCCUGUGACAGGGACCUUACCACCACACGCCUGUGUUUCAGUCAUUGGUUGUUCUCACCAUAAGAAAAUUUAUGUUGUGCCUUGUUUUUUCCACGUGGUCCUUUGUGAGGAGAGCCUCCACCCUCUUUGUAGCACUCUGGUACAUUGAGAUUAGCAUCCUGCCUCCAAGCCUUCUCUCCUCCAGGGAGAUAAGAUGGAACUCCUUCGGUCUUUCCUCACAGGACAGGUUGUCCUCACCACUCCCUUUAGUGGUAUCAGGAAUCUGGGUGAAGUUGCUUUCAAAUCCAUCACCCAAAUCCGUGUGAAGAUGGACAGUGUGGAGCCCAGUGGCAAUCUCAGAGACCCCACUUGAAACAGGCUGCCACCCUGAGUUAAAAACAUUGGCCACGACCCUCUGGGUGCAGCCUCUUGGCCAAUUUUCUACACAUCUUGCAAAACACAGUCUGUGUCUCACCACUUAGUCCAAGAGAAGGCUUCCUCAUCCAUGGAAGCAGAGUGAGAAGACUUCCCAUGUAGUAAGUGGCUUUUAGGGCUUCCUAGCUGAAUUCAUUUCUGUGCCUGCCAAACCCAAAGGGGUAUGGAGUGGAACCCUGCUGGAAGCAGAUCAAUGGAGAAUGGAUACAGGAUUGCUUUUUCAGUUGAGCAGCCAAAUAAGAGGGAGGGAAAUAAUUCAGAAGACGGCCAAAAUAAAUAUUAUUUUCUUCUUCCUUUGCUGUGUGUGUGGGGAAAAAGUAAAACCCCUCCACUUGUGUCAGAUAAAAUGUUGUUCAACCUGAAAUGGUGCUUGUAGGAAAGCAAAUGGUGUGCUGUUUACUCACUUUCAGUUAUCCUGGAACACAGUAAUAGAGAAGUUGGAGGAGGUUCAGUUUCCCAAUUCUGCCUGGCAUGAUCUGAAUUUCCAUCUCUCAGCUCGUCUCAUCAUCUCCUCUGCAAGCACAUACAUCUGAUUUAACUCAGCUUGCUGUGUUUCUCACCACCUUGUUUUCUCUUUGGUCUUUGUUUUUUAGUUUGUGUUUUCCUUUCAGUAUUUCUUAUACUUGUACCUAUUUUUAUUUUUAACAAAAAACCCCCUGCAACUCUGAGAGCACACAGCCCACAGGGCUGGAGCUGUGCACACAUCUCUUGUGGUUGAAACAGGCAAUGAGGAACAUGCCAUCUGUGAGCACGAAGCUUUCUUUUCUUGGCACUUCUUUCCAAACACACCACUGAAAUUUCUGCUAUGGACAAAAAUGCUUACGUGCCAGAUGACAUUUCUAGUAAAUUAGUUUGGUGUGAUAAGGCCCUGGGAUUUUAGCAGACAGUUUCACCAUAACACUGCAAAAAAUAACAGCCUGAGAAAUCAGAGAAUGUACCAGAGCCAGAAAAUUGCAUUGGAAUACUGCAAUAAUCAGGUUUUCUUUAAUAAUUACAUUUUCUUUCCUGCAUGUUUUUAGAACUGCUUUUCUGAAAAUGAGGAAAUGACAUACUGUUUGACCAAAGUAUUAUUUACUCAGUGUUCCCUGAAACAGAAGAGUUUCACCCUGCUUCUGUGCAGCAUAUGGGCUCCAGUGUCCCUGGGCAGCAGACCCUGCUUUGCUGACUUAGGUAUGUGAUUAACCUCUGUUAAAAGGAUAAAAGGGCAACCUGGCGGGUUAUCCUGUGGGAUUUUUCAGAUGUGAAUGCAGCAGAGAUACAGCGGCAGAUAAGAGCCACUACACUUGUUUGCACUAGUGCAGCCACAGCAGAGAUAAAAUUCCCAUUGUCACAGCUUUUACCCAGGUUGCUGAAUUGUCAGUCUCUUUGGAAGAGUUGGACACCUCCAGUGACAUAUGGAUGUGCUGCAUGUAUUGCCUGUGCCCUGUGCAAGGUCAAGUGCUUGGAAAGAAGCCCAAACAGCUUCCUGGCUGUGGAAAUGUGGACACAGAGUGAGCAGGACAUUGGGGUGAUGGAGAGAAAAGAGGACUGACCCACGUGGCCUGCAGGGGAUGAAGCAGCAGCACUGGACUACUUUGCUUGCUGUGGUAGGAACACAAACUGGUGCUGGAUUUUGAUCUGACUGGUACACAAGGAUGUCUACAGGAUUUUGCAUCUUAAAUAUUUUUUCUACUGCUGUGCUUCAGGAAAAAUUUUAAGUUCUUGUAUGCCACAAUCCACCAGGACUAAAGAUGAACCUAAAAUUCCUGAUACAAAAGCAGAAAACAGCCCGAGAGGUUUAUAAAAACGCCAUAGGAAACCCAGCUUUAGUUGCAGCAGCAUUGUUAAAUUCAAGCCUCAAACAGAAGAAACAGCCUUUAGCAGAUGAUGCUUUAAUCUCCCUUUGGCAUCUCCCUGCCAGUUGCCAAUGCAGCCAUGUGCACAUCUGAGAGCAAAUUUUCUAGGACAGCACUGGGAGACCCAGAAAGGCCAUGCUGUGCCAGCCCACCUGGCUGCAAGCUGCACAGAAAUCCCUGGUUUGUCAGUCCAGGAGCCCAAAGCAACUGAAAGACCUUCCCAGAGCCAUGAGCAUGGGGCUUGUCCUACUGCUGGGGAAUGCUUCUGCACAGUGUCCUUUAAAGCAGACGUCCAGAGCUGCAGUUUAAAAUGCACUCAGAAAUGCUCUGUGCCUGCAGAUGGAAGGGGGAGAUGGCAUCUGCCAGCUGUUGGGUUGCCCUGCAAGGCUGUUUUGCCCACUGUGAGACCCCCUUGCCCUCUCCAGAGAUGCAGGUCCAUACAGGAGUUACCUCACCAGAGAGAAAAACGUUGAAUGAUGCAGAGCUGCCCUCCUUGUCACGUUCCUUCUUGGCUUGCUUAGGCUCCUCUGAGCCCCCCCCCCCAGUGUUUUGUAGGGUCCUUAGCACUGAAAAUCAGUCUCAGCAUGAGCCUCAGUCCCUCUCCUAUCAGCUUUCAGUAACAAUAAAUUGAAAGCAAAUCCAAAUCUUUGCCCCAUCAGAAACCGCAGCUGCAAAGCUGUCCUAUUGUUUCAUAAGCUACUUUUAUUUUUGAGCCUUCAGACCUGUGGCACAUCCUCUGCAAAGGUUAAAUGCAAAAUUUGCUGCACAAGCAUAGUGAAGAAAGUCUGUUUCUCAGCAUACUUGAGAGUCCCCAACCCCCUCCAAAACAAAAUGGAAGUGUCUCUGGUUCAAGGCAGCCUACAAGGCAGCGAGCUGCAGGAGCUGUAAGCUAUUAUUUUAGUUCCCAAGAAAAGUAAUUACUAUAGCAACCAACACAUCCGAAUGGCUCUUUGGCUGCUGCCGAGACACAAACAACUUGCACACAAAGGCACAUCAGAAACAUGCUGUGUAAAAUGUUCUCGAGUAGCUCUGUGUUUUCCAGAGCUCUAUAAAGUGUGCGUAACAGGCUUCUGAGAAAUGACUGCCAGAAAAACAGCAAGCAAUUGUGCCCUGCCAUAAUCCCAAAAUAACCUAAUCAAUGGCUCAGUAUAUUUGCCCCUGAAGAGAUGAAGCAAAAAAAAAAGCAGAGGCUCCAUUUUAAGCCUGUGUGCCGGGAAGUUCCCAGCAGAGCUGAAGAUACAUUCAACAAACAGACAAUAAAAUGGUGGGGGAACGUCUCUGCUUUUGUUCUGCCCGCUGAUUCCAAUUCCCUGCAGGCUUCACGUGCCAGCCCAUCCCCUCGGGCUUAUGCAGAGAGUGUUGGGAAAAGGGAUUUAAUUACAGCCUUGUAGUGCUGGAGGGUGUAAGAAGCAAUGUCUGCGUUCCUUUCUGUGUCUGUGCAGCAGCCAGCCCCCACGGAUCACAGCUCCAGCUGCAGCGCUGGGCACAUCACUGCUGCUCUUACUGAACAAGGAAGCUUCUUGAGCAACAGUGAGCUGUAACCAUUGGCCAUUGCUUAAGUAUUACAGUGUUUGGAGUGUGUCUGUCACAUUCAAAUCAAAAUGCCACUGGUGUGAUAACAGCUCAAAAGCUCCUGGCCUCUGCCUGCAAAGCUGCACCACUUCACGGUGCUGAGACAAACACCCUGGGUUCCCCAAAACAAGAGAUCUGGUCCAAGCACCUGGUCCAGAAGUAUUGUCCAAA